rnacentral:lncRNA from 1 species
UCGGAUGUGUGUAUUGAAAUGGAGGACUAGUUGUACAUGGAUCUCAUCAAUUAUGCUGUCUAACUACAUUUUUGCUUAACAUACAGAAGCCAGGGUGAGUAUAUGCUGUCUAACAACAGUUUUUUGCUUUACAUACAUAAGCAAAGGGUAAAGGUAAGUAUGCUGUCUAGCAACAUUUUUGCUUUACAUGCAGAAGCAGAGGAUAAGGCAUUUCACAGAUCCAAAGUCAGCUAGGUUUGUUUGGAAACCUAACAGUAUAAGCAUGGCUUCAAUCCAAAGUCAGGUAGGUUUGUUUGGAAAUCUAAAUGGUAUAUGCAUCACUUUAGUCUAGAUAUAUCUCGACUGGGAUGAAUUUUUUUCCUCAGGCGUGUCAUUUUCCUUCUCACAAAUUAUAGAUAAUAUUAACAUUCUUUUGAGAGGUGUGAUAAAGUUAAGACCAAAAAUAAUGCGCCCGAGUGGAUCAAGUUAUCAUCUUCCAAAUAGUUGUGCAUUAUGCAUCACCCAACAUCUUAGUAGCAUUAUCAACAAGAUUAUUGCAUGCACGAUGAUUUUUUCCAAGAAGAUUAACUAUUUCAUCAUGUGCGGUUUAGUACUUCUCAUAAGGUGAUGUUUACUUUUAAACCUUAUGAUGACCCAUAUGUAAAUGUCGGAAUCAACACAGCUUUUAAUUUGGUACAAAUUAUGUGUGAGAUUCUUUCUGAAAUGAAUAGCAUGCAGUACUCCUUUUUCCAGAUUUCAGUUUUGUUGGAAUUAAAAUGAUCUUGUGAAUAAAUUCAAUUCAAACAUUUUCCAUUUGAAGCAUACUUGUUAUAGUGAAAUGCAAAAGACUAUUCUCCAAUCUGAAAGCUACUAUGUUGUUUGAUAUAAAGGCUGCUAAUCCGCACAAGUAACGGCAUCAGCUACCACUGCAAGUGGAAGUGAAAAAGCAGCACAAACUGCUGCAGUGUACAUGUUGGAACAAAAAAAAAAAAAAAAACUAAGGGACGCCUUGGCGGUUUAUGGCAUCGGUGGACGAGAGUUGCUUGUUGGGAUCGUCGGCGGCGGUGGUGGUGGGGGCGUCGGUGGAUGCGGCGGCGCCACGGCCGGGAUUGGGUUGGAGAUGGCCCUCAGUGCCGUAAGCUUGUUUCUUGUAAUCAUCCAAGUCUUUGUACUGCGUAUAUGGGCUUGUAUCCACCGGCAGCCCUUGUAAUUUUUCCUUCUUUUCGUCUUCUUGCUUCUUCUCCAUCUAUGCCUAAGGCUGUUCCUUCUUUGACCACGAAUUUAAAUUAGGCUCAUUGUGUCUGUGUAAUGCUGCCACGUUUGCUGUGCAUGUGUCAGUUUUGGGAUUGAUGUGUCCGAGUUUGAGGAAAUGAAAGAUAGGC